rnacentral:lncRNA from 1 species
GGAUGAAUUAUUAAGUUUUAUAUCACUAUUUUGAAACAAAUUCGUAAAAAAAUCAGAAAUCUGAGAAACAGAGAAAAUCCCUAGGAAUGCCAUGAAAGAGUAAGAUGGAUGAAAGCAGAAGUGCAUGACCUCUGAGUAACCAGUCUCACAGGUUUGUCCCAAACUGUGUGUGAAAAGAAGGAAGGCUGGGCAGAAUUCAGCAUUUGAAUGGCUGGAAGGAGCUGCCAUUCUAGAAUUGGUAUUUGGCAGCAUAUAGAAAGUAACCAGGAAGACCAAAUAUCCCAAGGAUUGUGGCUAGAGCUGUGAGCAGACUGAGCUGGAAGUGGAAUGGAGGGAGAUAGACCAUGAAGAAACAGCAUGCUUACAAUGAUCCAAGAUAUUGAACUCACCUACCCUUUACUGUCAAUUCAGUAGUUUUGCACUGAAUUGACAUAUCUGUAUUGCUGCAUAUCUGUAAGGAGAGGAGGAGGAAUGCAAAGCCAGAAGACCACUGUGCAGUACAAAUGUGGAAGAGAAUUCUGUAAGAAUUAGAGGUGACGUGGAGUGAAUCAGCUCUUCUUUCAUCUUGGAAGUAAUAUCUUGACAUGCUGCAAACCAAUGAACCAUCAGAAACUUCACCGAGGUUUCAAACACUUGUACUAUGUGCACUACAACUAUGGACAGAGUGACUACUGGCAGAAAUGAACCCAUGUGAGAAUUCUGGGAUCGAAGAGAACAAGGAGCUAAAGGAAGUCAGUUGGAUGAUGUAGGAGGGAGGCUCCUGUUUUUCUGACAUCACUGCCAGAUGAAGCACCAAAUAAUUAGAAAGCUUUCACUCCAUUUGCCUUGGAUAGAUUUAAAGGCUAGGCACAGUCAUUUGUGUUAGUUAAAAUCUCUGAAACCUUAAAAAUAAAUAAAUAAAUAAAUAAAAUCA